UACGGGGGGAGCAAGCGUUGUUCGGAUUUACUGGGCGUAAAGGGCGCGUAGGCGGCGCAACAAGUCACUUGUGAAAUCUCCGGGCUUAACUCGGAAAGGUCAACUGAUACUGCGCGGCUAGAGUGCGGAAGGGGCAACUGGAAUUCUUGGUGUAGCGGUGAAAUGCGCAGAUAUCAGGAGGAACACCGGUGGCGAAGGCGGGUCUCUGGGCCGAUACUGACGCUGAGGAGCGAAAGCGUGGGGAGCGAACAGG
rnacentral:rRNA from 1 species